rnacentral:other from 1 species
UAUCCUGAAAUGUGCGACAACUCUUAUUAUUUUGAACCUACAUUUACUUUAAACGGGAUUCCUAUAUUGUCAUAUGGAUGUCAGGCCUUACCCACGGGUCAGAGGAAGGCAGAAGUAUGGUUGCGGUUGCCCACCUGGCGUUAGCUAGGAGUCAAAGUAUAAGAGCCGGCAUUUUGGGU